CCAGACUCUACGGGAGGCAGCAGUGGGGAAUAUUGCACAAUGGGCGCAAGCCUGAUGCAGCGACGCCGCGUGAGGGAUGACGGCCUUCGGGUUGUAAACUUCUUUCAGUAGGGAAGAAGCCUUCGGGUGACGGUACCUGCAGAAGAAGCGCCGGCUAAUUACGUGCCAGCAGCCGCGGUAAUACGUAGGGCGCGAGCGUUAUCCGGAAUUAUUGGGCGUAAAGAGCUCGUAGGCGGUUUGUCGCGUCUGCCGUGAAAGUCCGGGGCUUAACCCCGGAUCUGCGGUGGGUACGGGCAGACUAGAGUGCAGUAGGGGAGACCGGAAUUCCUGGUGUAGCGGUGAAAUGCGCAGAUAUCAGGAGGAACACCGAUGGCGAAGGCAGGUCUCUGGGCUGUUACUGACGCUGAGGAGCGAAAGCAUGGGGAGCGAACAGGAUUAGAUACCCUGGUAGUCCAUGCCGUAAACGUUGGGCACUAGGUGUGGGGGACAUUCCACGUUUUCCGCGCCGCAGCUAACGCAUUAAGUGCCCCGCCUGGGGAGUACGGCCGCAAGGCUAAAACUCAAAGGAAUUGACGGGGGCCCGCACAAGCGGCGGAGCAUGCGGAUUAAUUCGAUGCAACGCGAAGAACCUUACCAAGGCUUGACAUGUUCUCGAUCGCCACAGAGAUGUGGUUUCCCCUUUGGGGCGGGUU
rnacentral:rRNA from 1 species